rnacentral:lncRNA from 1 species
GUGGUGCCAAAUGCAACCUUAAGGUUUUGAAAAUCUCCUAGUAAACCUUACCCUUAGAGCUUUCAUCUAGAUUUCUCUUGAAUUGAUCAUAUUUCAAGUAAUUAAUUUCUCAAAUUGAUUCAUUUGUUUUGAUAAAAAUAUUCUUUUUAAUCACUUUUUGAAUGAAUGAAACUCUGUUCUUCAUGGAAAUUUAGUAUGUUUGAUAUGUUCA